ensembl:ncRNA F32D8.16 ncRNA
AAGUGGCACUACUAUCAAGUUACAUUCAUCAUCGAAUCGAAAAGAAAAGGGACUCUAAAAGCUGGUGGAGGGUCUGGUGGUAGCUCUCAGAUUUUAUGAGCUCGUGCUGACUGGAGGGCAUCUGUUUUCUUGCUGCGACAUUGAC